rnacentral:pre_miRNA from 1 species
UAAUGGUAGCCCCUGACUUCAACAUGAGGAAGAGAAGCAGCUCCUUUUCGUGUUGAAGUCAGGUCUAUCAUUG